GGCCCCAACCCGCACCCAUCCACGUACCAAAAAAUAGACCUACGAAGGUUAACCAACGAAAAAAGACCUACCAAGGUUAACCAGCGACAAAAAAACCUAAACCUAUCGCCCGCUCCCUCGCGCCCCUGUUGCUCCCUCCCCGAUCCCGAUCUGGAUCGAGGGGACGAGGAGCUCCUGCCUCCCCGACGGCCGGCCUCCGCCUCGCCCCGCCGCUGCGUCCGGCGCCGCCACGGCCUCUGGAGCCAGGGAAGCCAUGGCCUGAGCUCGGCCUCGAGGUCCCCGUCGCCCUCUCCUGCAGCUUCUGCCCCGCCGCCGUCUCCUUCGCCCUCGCAGCCGCCGCCGAUCCCCUCCCUCAAAUGCCGCUGCUGCCCGUCGGCGCCGCCCCCGCCACCUCCCGUCGCGGGCAGGCGGGAGGAGCCCUGCCCGGCCUCCUCCUCCCCCUCACCUUCUCUCCCUCUCUGGCGGCAAGGGGAGGCAGCGCCCAGAUCCGCAGCCGCACCGGCGGGCCGCCGUCCCUCGAGAUCGUCCAUGGAGGUCCGACCCGGCUACAGCCAUGGACUGAGACGCCCGAAUCCCUAGCUACCCGUGGAGGUCCGACGCCUCAACCUCCAAGGAAAGGACGCGCGCCGGCUGCAGGCCAUCUCCGGCGACCUCCGACCAUGGUUGCUCGGAUCUGGACCAGCUGCUGCUCCUACUGCUUCAGGUGGAUGAGGACGAGCCCUCCCUCAUUGCUACUGCGGCUGCCUACUCCCUCCUCCUACCCCCUAGCCUGGUGUGAGUGGUGGAGUUAAUGAGCCGGGAUGAAGUUCGAGAAGUUGCAUUACACCGUGUAAAUAUUAAUGAGCUGUGGAAGACAAGUGCACCGAUAUAGUUGUUAGAGAAAUAAGAAGAUGAUGUAGAGUGAUUUAUGGGUAAGUAAUAUAGCGAAUAGAUUUGCACGGGAAGUCAAGUAUAUGCCGAGACUCGAGCAGGUUCAUUGUUAUUGUUGUUCUUGCGUGUCAAAGCUUUUGGCUAGAUCUGUAGGUAUACAUAUGAGUCGAUGCUUAAUUUUUGUCACGUUUCUUACUUACCACUAUUAUUUCUAGCAGACCUAACCUGAUAUAGUAGUUAAUUUUGGCACUAGACACAACAACUUUGACAUUGAUAAUUUCCUCAUAUUUUUAGUAGGACAAUAAACUUGUCUAGCAUUUCAUAGUUGCAGGCUCUGAAAACAAAUGUAUCUGCCCCCUAAAUGAUUAAACGUGUGGUUUCUGAAUUAUGCAUGCUGACAUGCAUUGGUAAUCAUUAUUCAACGGUAUUCCUUUUCACUGAAAUAAGAACCAUGUAAUGCUUAUGAUUUAAUCUGGUUAUCUAGACAACUAAAUGGGUUAAUGUUAUGCUUAGUAUCUUUUGGCAAAUGUAAUGCAGGGAAGUAAACCACUGUCUUUUGAUAGGGAUUUCUGGAGGUAACAUGCCUCUGAUUGUAUGCACUGAAUUUCAGAUGCUAUCUUGCAUACGACUGAGCAGUCUCGGAUAUACUUCAACCCAGACAUCAACGCAACAAAUAACUUGAUUAUAAGGAACAAAUGUCAUGCGAAGCAAAUAAUUUCCUUAGAAAAAAGAGGGCCAAGAAAAAGACGCAAAAGCAUAGCUUGCUCCUUGAUUCCAGUUUCUGCAGCCACCAUUGAUAAGCAUGGGACUGAGCAAAUGAGUAUCAAAAGGAAGUGAAGGAAGCUUCGUCCUCUGGGUUGCUUGCGAUGUAGUUCUCCAGCAGCUUCAGCGCCAAGUUGUAAACUUAUGCACUUGGGGCUAUUAAAGGGAGGCAAUUGACGUGCAUUUCAAGAGGAGUUAUUCUGUGGCAACCCACAGAGUCAUGUCUGAUCAUUAAAAGAAUUGGCCACGGAUCCCCACGGACGCCGCCGCCGCUGCGGAUCCCCACGGACGACGCAGACGCCGCCGAACAGAGCAGGGCAUGGUCGCGUUGCACUGAUUGGAGGAGACCGUGCCGGCCGUGCCCUGUUUGGAGGAUGAACACAGGUUCACCGCCAUGGCUAUGAGAGGACACAUUUGUGGAAUCCCCUGCACGCAACGGACAGAUCGAUUGUUUGAACGGGCGCAAGGAAAGAGAUCUGGGCCUGCUUGAGGGGGUGAGCUGACAUGGGAGACCCGAGCUGUUGUUCAUCUCCUGCUGCUGCUAUAUUGACCUCUACUUGAAGUCAGGAGCCAAAUUGAAGAUCAAAUUCAGGCUUUCAAAAGUGAGGCUGGGGCGCGGAGGUGAUGCCAAAUUGGCGUGUGAAUGUAAGGAUUGAAAUGAGAUAGUUAUCUUCUUUCAGUUGUUUGCUUCUGCUUAUUGAUAGAGAUAAUUAUUCCCUAUUUAGUAGAUUAUGUCACAUGUUAAUAUUGGGAAUUAUCUAUGGUUCAUUUGGUGUUCAUAUCUCCAUCCUAGCGACCGCUUUAUCCAUGGCGUUUUUAUCGCAUCCACCCAGGUUAGUAUGAAACGAGAAUGCACAUCUAUGUUGUAUUUGCUGCCGUAUGUUGUUUGCAUCAAAAACGUUCUUUGCAUGGUGAACACGGCAGCAAUUCAUUCUUCGAAGAAGUGAAGCGAUGUAAAAAAUGUGCAUCGGCGGCCGCCGAGUGAUCACCCGUCAUUUUUCAUAGUCCUCUUAGUUAUGUACUAGCACAGAUGUUGCGUACGAAAGUAGGAGCAAUCAAGUUGUUGUUUCUCUGACAUGGAGGCAAGCUGGCCUUGUUGUGCUAUGCUCAUCUCAAAUUUUAUGCUACGUCUACUUAUUUUAGCUAAACGUAGGUUUUGGCAGCAAGAAACACUUGCAAAUGUAUGUCUUCUUGAUAUAAGUAUCUGUUCUAGAAGAUAAAUAUAGAUAGCCGUCACAAUAACCGGGGAUAUAAAUAUUUGCACUAGAAGAUAGAUAUUUAUAGUGGUCACAAUAACUGAAUCUGUUGUGUACUACAAUAUUUUUAUUCAGAAGAAGACAUGAUUAUAUGUUUUUAUGUAGUUUUAGUAUCUGAGUCGAACUUUCUUAAUUUGUAAAAAGAUAGUUGUAAUUGAUUGAA